GACGAACGCUGGCGGCGUGCUUAACACAUGCAAGUCGAACGCUGAAGCUUGGUGCUUGCACUGGGUGGAUGAGUGGCGAACGGGUGAGUAAUACGUGAGUAACCUGCCCUUGACUCUGGGAUAAUCCUGGGAAACUGGGUCUAAUACUGGAUAUGACAUGCCACUGCAUGGUGGUUUGUGGAAAGGGUUUUGCUGGUUUUGGAUUGGCUCGCGGCCUAUCAGCUUGUUGGUGGGGUAAUGGCCUACCAAGGCGACGACGGGUAGCCUGCCUGAGAGGGUGACCGGCCACACUGGGACUGAGACACGGCCCAGACUCCUACGGGAGGCAGCAGUGGGGAAUAUUGCACAAUGGGCGGAAGCCGGAUGCAGCGACGCCGCGUGAGGGAUGACGGCCUUCGGGUUGUAAACCUCUUUCAGCACGGAAGAAGCGAGAGUGACGGUACGUGCAGAAGAAGCGCCGGCUAACUACGUG
rnacentral:rRNA from 1 species